rnacentral:rRNA from 1 species
AGUGAACGCUGGCGGUAGGCCUAACACAUGCAAGUCGAACGGCAGCACAGUAAGAGCUUGCUCUUACGGGUGGCGAGUGGCGGACGGGUGAGGAAUACAUCGGAAUCUACUUUUUCGUGGGGGAUAACGUAGGGAAACUUACGCUAAUAUCGCAUACGACCUACGGGUGAAAGCAGGGGAUCUUCGGACCUUGCGCGAUUGAAUGAGCCGAUGUCGGAUUAGCUAGUUGGCGGGGUAAAGGCCCACCAAGGCGACGAUCCGUAGCUGGUCUGAGAGGAUGAUCAGCCACACUGGAACUGAGACACGGUCCAGACUCCUACGGGAGGCAGCAGUGGGGAAUAUUGGACAAUGGGCGCAAGCCUGAUCCAGCCAGACCGCGUGGGUGAAGAAGGCCUUCGGGUUGUAAAGCCCUUUUGUUGGGAAAGAAAAGCAGCAGGUUAAUACCCCGCUGUUCUGACGGUACCCAAAGAAUAAGCACCGGCUAACUUCGUG